rnacentral:snRNA from 1 species
GGAUAUGAGGGUGAUCUGGCUGUGACAUCUGUCACCCCAUUGGUCACCAUAGUUGAUUUGGCUAAUCUGGCUGGCUAGGCAGGUGUCCCUUCCCUCCCUCACUGUUCCAUGUGUGUCCCAAACAGGGGAGGACCGGUCUUUGGUCAUUCAUAUAUGAGUAGCUGAGCGUCCCUGCUAUAACCUCCAAACAAGCUCUCAAAUAUCAAAACACAUGUGGCACCAGGUGUGGUGGCCACCCUGUAAGUCAAGUCCCAGCUACUCAGGAUGCUGAGGUAGGACAUCACUUGA